GACGAACGCUGGCGGCGUGCUUAACACAUGCAAGUCGAACGGAAAGGCCCUGCUUUUGUGGGGUGCUCGAGUGGCGAACGGGUGAGUAACACGUGAGUAACCUGCCCUUGACUUUGGGAUAACUUCAGGAAACUGGGGCUAAUACCGGAUAGGAGCUCCUGCUGCAUGGUGGGGGUUGGAAAGUUUCGGCGGUUGGGGAUGGACUCGCGGCUUAUCAGCUUGUUGGUGGGGUAGUGGCCUACCAAGGCUUUGACGGGUAGCCGGCCUGAGAGGGUGACCGGCCACAUUGGGACUGAGAUACGGCCCAGACUCCUACGGGAGGCAGCAGUGGGGAAUAUUGCACAAUGGGCGGAAGCCUGAUGCAGCAACGCCGCGUGCGGGAUGACGGCCUUCGGGUUGUAAACCGCUUUCGCCUGUGACGAAGCGUGAGUGACGGUAAUGGGUAAAGAAGCACCGGCUAACUA
rnacentral:rRNA from 1 species